UGAAAUGUUCUUAAAUGGUUACUUCUGGGGACCGGGGCUGAAGUGGGAACAUGGCAUGAUGUUGCUUUUAUUAUAAAUCCUUUAACACUGUUUGAUUUUUUAACUUGUGCAUAUAUCACUUUGGAAAAUAUCAAAUUUAAAAAUAAACAACUCAGUAAAACACUGUGCAAUUGAAAUUGAAGUGAUGUGGUAGAAGAAUGCUUAAUGAUGUGGAAAAAUAUCCACAAAAUGAAAAUAAAAACAGUAGGUUACAUAACAUGUCAGAAUGUAAAGCAGAACCCAUUUUUGUGUAUGUGUGAAGCACACAUGUGGGUUAAAAAGAUGCUAUAUUAUAGUCAGUGUAUAUGACAAAUUCCUAACUUUAGAUAUAAAUGGGUAUUCAAUUUUUAUUAAUAGACUCCUUUUUUCCUGAUUGACAAUGUUGAAUGAGUGUUUAAAGACUGGGUUUGAAGGGACCCUGUGUCGUCUUCCUUCCCAGGGCUUGACCAAGCCCUUCCUAUAGGCCAUUUAACGAUGGGGUUUAUCUUUAUCCUAAGGGCAGUGAGGAGCCACUGAAGUAAGUGAAGCAGACAGUGUGGUAAGAUUGCUUUAGGGUUUCUCUCCCUAAACUGUGGAAAUGUUUUGAGAGGCAAGCCCUGAAUCAGAAGCAAGAGCUGGGAAGCAGUUAGGCAACAAGGCAGGAAACGCUGGGUUCCUGAAGCAGGAAAGCGGCGGCAGGGUUAGAGCGAAGGGGGCAGGGUCAGAAACAACGCGACAGUGUCAGCCGGACUAGUCGAGAGGCUGUGUGUCCGCAACUGUAAGCUGCGUGAAGAUGAGGACCUCUUUGAUGUCAUUUACUGUUCUAUCCCAGGUGUACCCAGCACAGUUUCUGAUGCAUGUUGACACUCAGUAAAUAUCUGUGAUCUGAAGAAGAGGAAAGAAUCAGUAUGGCUACUCAGAAGCCUGCCCGGGUUACGUGGGUGAAGGAUGGGCUGUUCGCUGAGCGGUAACGUGAAUGGCAGCGUGGCAGAGGGAGACGGAGAUGGAAGUCCUAAGCCCACAGUUCUCAAAGUACACUUCUGGUGGUUUUUCACAAGCAUGUGGAAGCUAUCUGAAGAUCAGAAGGGGAUUUCCUGGACCCUGGACUCACCCCUUCCUGGACAAACCCCUUUCCUGACUGGAGAAAGGGAGUGAUCUAAGCUUCCUGAAAGAGACCUGCCCUUUCCUGGAGACAGAGCUGGAGUAGCCCGGAGGAAGGAAAGGCUGCCCACGCUGAAAUCCCUCUGUCCUGCGAAGGUGUCCAAGACCAGCUGGGGCCCCGCGCAUCUGCGGAGCAGGAAGGAGACUGCGGGAGGAGGCAG